rnacentral:rRNA from 1 species
AUUGAACGCUGGCGGCAUGCCUUACACAUGCAAGUCGAACGGCAGCACGGGUGCUUGCACCUGGUGGCGAGUGGCGAACGGGUGAGUAAUACAUCGGAACGUACCUUAUCGUGGGGGAUAACGCAGCGAAAGCUGUGCUAAUACCGCAUACGCCCUGAGGGGGAAAGCGGGGGAUCGCAAGACCUCGCGCGAUUAGAGCGGCCGAUGCCUGAUUAGCUAGUUGGUGGGGUAAAAGCCCACCAAGGCGACGAUCAGUAGCUGGUCUGAGAGGACGAUCAGCCACACUGGGACUGAGACACGGCCCAGACUCCUACGGGAGGCAGCAGUGGGGAAUUUUGGACAAUGGGGGCAACCCUGAUCCAGCAAUGCCGCGUGAGUGAAGAAGGCCUUCGGGUUGUAAAGCUCUUUUGUCAGGGAAGAAACACCGGCUCUAACACAGUCCGGGAAUGACGGUACCUGAAGAAUAAGCACCGGCUAACUACGUG